rnacentral:rRNA from 1 species
UUCCGGUUGAUCCUGCCGGACCCGACUGCUAUCAGAGUGGGACUAAGCCAUGCGAGUCAACAUAGCAAUAUGUGGCAUACGGCUCAGUAACACGUAGUCAACAUGCCCAGGGGACGUGGAUAACCUCGGGAAACUGAGGAUAAACCGCGAUAAGUCACUACUUCUGGAAUGGGUAAUGACUCAAAUCUACAUGGCCCCUGGAUUGGACUGCGGCCGAUCAGGCUGUUGGCGGGGUAAUGGCCCACCAAACCUGUAACCGGUACGGGCCUUGAGAGAGGUGGCCCGGAGAUGGACACUGAGACAAGGGUCCAGGUCCUACGGGGCGCAGCAGGCGCGAAACCUUCGCAAUGUGCGAAAGCAUGACGAGGUUAAUCCGAGUGGCUUCCGCUGAGGAAGUCUUUUGCCGACUUUAAAAUGGUCGGAGAAUAAGGGGAGGGCAAGUCUGGUGUCAGCCGCCGCGGUAAUACCAGCUCCUCGAGUGGUCGGGGCGAUUAUUGGGCCUAAAGCAUCCGUAGCCGGUUCCAUAGGUCUCCUGCAAAAUCCAGUCGCUCAACGAUUGGCCCGCAGGAGAUACCGUGGGACUAGGAGGCGGGAGAGGUGGACGGUACUCCACGUGUAGGGGUAAAAUCCUUUGAUCCGUGGAAGACCACCAGUGGCGAAGGCGGUCCACCAGAACGCGCUCGACGGUGAGGGAUGAAAGCUGGGGGAGCGAACCGGAUUAGAUACCCGGGUAGUCCCAG